UACGUAGGGGGCAAGCGUUGUCCGGAAUCAUUGGGCGUAAAGAGCGCGUAGGCGGCCCUGUAAGUCCGCUGUGAAAGUCAGGGGCUCAACCCUUGGAUGCCGGUGGAUACUGCAGGGCUAGAGUCCGGAAGAGGCGAGUGGAAUUCCUGGUGUAGCGGUGAAAUGCGCAGAUAUCAGGAGGAACACCGAUGGCGAAGGCAGCUCGCUGGGACGGUACUGACGCUGAGGCGCGAAAGCGUGGGGAGCAAACAGG
rnacentral:rRNA from 1 species